rnacentral:rRNA from 1 species
UCUUUAUGGCAAAUGUGAGAUGCAGUGUAUGGAAUGUCAAAUUUCUAGUAUGAGAAAUUAACGAUUUAAGUCCUUCUUAAAUGAGGCCAUUUACCCAUAGAGGGUGCCAGGCCCGUAUAACGUUAAUGAUUACUAGAUGACAUUUCCAAAGAGUCGUGUUGCUUGAUAGUGCAGCACUAAGUGGGUGGUAAACUCCAUCUAAAACUAAAUAUAACCAUGAGACCGAUAGUAAACAAGUACCGUGAGGGAAAGUUGAAAAGAACUCUGAAUAGAGAGUUAAAUAGUACGUGAAACUGCUUAGAGGUUAAGCCCGAUGAACCUGAAUAUCCAUUAUAGAAAAUUCAUCAUUAUGAUUUUAAUAUUAAUAAUAUUAUAAUAAUGGUGUGCAUUUUUUCUAUAACGGACAUUGUAAUCUAUUAACAUAAAAUAUAUUUAUCAUAAGAUCAAGAAUCGUAAGAUUAUUCGAAUUAUUUUGCUUGCAAUUUAACAUAGAAUAAAUACUUCUUGAUUGGAUAAAGUGUUGAUAGAUUUAUUGUAUAUAGUGCUUAAAUAAUUGUAUUUUAUAAUAGCAUAUUAAUCAUUGAUUUUUAUGUUUAUUAUAUGCACUUAUAUGAUUAACAAUGCGAAAGAUUCAGGAUACCUUCGGGACCCGUCUUGAAACACGGACCAAGGAGUCUAACAUAUUUGCAAGUUAUUGGGUAUCAAAACCUAAUAGCGAAAUUAACAUAACUUUAAUGGGAUUAGUUUUUAGAUUAUUUAUAGUCUAUUAAUUCAAUCCCGGGGCGUUCUAUAUAGUUAUGUAUAAUAAUAUUUAUAUUAUUUAUACCUCUAACUAGAGCGUACCUUGAGCAUAUAUGCUGUGACCCGAAAGAUGGUGAACUAUACUUGAUCAGGUUGAAGUCAGGGGAAACCCUGAUGGAAGACCGAAACAGUUCUGACGUGCAAAUCGAUUGUCAG